rnacentral:rRNA from 1 species
UACGUAGGGUGCAAGCGUUAAUCGGAAUUACUGGGCGUAAAGCGUGCGCAGGCGGUUAUAUAAGACAGUUGUGAAAUCCCCGGGCUCAACCUGGGAACUGCAUCUGGGACUGUAUAGCUAGAGUACGGUAGAGGGGGAUGGAAUUCCGCGUGUAGCAGUGAAAUGCGUAGAUAUGCGGAGGAACACCGAUGGCGAAGGCAAUCCCCUGGACCUGUACUGACGCUCAUGCACGAAAGCGUGGGGAGCAAACAGG